AACGCUGGCGGCGUGCCUCAUACAUGCAAGUCGGACGGAUUUAAUGAUGUAGCAAUAUAUUGUUAGAUUAGUGGCGAACGGGUGAGUAACACGUAGCUAACCUGCCCUAAAGUCUGGGAUAACAUACCGAAAGGGAUGCUAAUACCGGAUAAGACAAGAUGCCGCAUGGCAUCAGGUUAAAAGAUGGCCUCUGUUUACAAGCCGCGCUUAAGGAUGGGGCUGCGGUCCAUUAGGUAGUUGGUGUGGUAAUGGCGCACCAAGCCGACGAUGGAUAGCCGGGCUGAGAGGCUGGACGGCCACAAUGGAACUGAGACACGGUCCAUACUCCUACGGGAGGCAGCAGUAGGGAAUAUUCCGCAAUGGGCGAAAGCCUGACGGAGCGACGCCGCGUGAAUGAAGAAAUCUUUCGGGAUGUAAAGUUCAAUCGACCAGGGAAGAAUGGUUUUCAUAUUAAUAAUAUGAGAGCAGGGACGGUACCUGGAAUGAAGCCACGGCUAAUUACGUGCCAGCAGCCGCGGUAAUACGUAAGUGGCAAGCGUUAUCCGGAAUCACU
rnacentral:rRNA from 1 species